UUGCACUUGCAAGGCAGGCCACCGAACGGCUGAGCUAAAUCCCCGGCCCUCAAAUGGCACUUCUUAACCGAACAGUACGUUCAUAAUUUAGUCAUGCCUGAGAAGUAAAAACACAUGAAAAAUUUUAAAAAUAUAUAAAUGUUUGUCUUAUAAGUAGUUUAACUUUGUAUAUAAGGAAUCAAAGCAAUAACAUUAUUUGGAGCUAACAUGUAUAAAUUUUCUGGAAUAAACCCUUGAUUGAAAUCCACUUCAUAAUGAGUUUUUAAACAAUCUUUCAUUUGUUUAUUUCUCCGGAAGAAAUCAAAGGGGGUGUAGAAACACAAUGUAAAACCUUUUUAUUUAGUUAAACUCAAAAUCUACUUUUUUUUUAAUUAUGUCUUUGGAUUAUGUCUGAACAUUAUUUUAUUACAUGCCUAUUCUCAACACUGAAUUUUAAAAGAACCUUCUCUAGUUAAUCCAGGCUGUUAUGUUUUUUUGUUUGGAUGGUUGGUUAUCUCUUCUUAUAACGUUUUUAUUUUGAGACACAGGGUCUCAUUAAUUUCCAAGGUUAGACUAGAACUUGGAAUGUUCCUGCCUCAGCCAUCCCAAGUGCUAGGAUUACAGUCUUACCUGUCCUUAUGAAGAUGUCUUUUGAGAGGUAUACAAGGAACAAAAUGCUGUUUAUAAAUUCUGCUCUUAAUAAGGUAUAAAUCUUGAAACCAUAGCUGCCCUGACCACAGUCACCAACAGAAAAAUAGAAAGGUGAAGACUGACUAAGCCAGUUAUUUUGACCAUGUGGAGAAAGGACUAAGAGUAAGCAGAAACUGACAUUGUAUAGAGCAGAGUGCCUUACAACACUCACCUUAGGACAGUAAGUGCCAUAUGAGAUGAUCUCUUCAGCACCAAACUGUAAGUAUCUCUGGGGACUCAACAGUGGAAUGGGACAGUGGUUUCUGUUGUCAAUAAAACUGUCAUCAUUUUAUAAUUUGUGGCUUGCAUACCUACAGGCUAAGAUAGUACACUUUAUUGGCUGUAAGAAUUUAAACCAAAAUAGAAUGCAACGUUCCCCCAAAAGUAACCUGGGAUCUGGGCCAUCAGAACUGAGGCAAAAGUUACAUAAAAUUUGAAUAACUAGGUUAGAACUAAGUUAUUGGGCCUUUGCCUGGAAAACCAAUUAGAGGACUGACCAGAUAGGGAGAUAUCAUAGCCUGUUGCAAUGGAAUAAUUUUGGAAAUGAAAUAUGGCAAUACUAUAUGCAGAAAUUUCUAAGAAUUCAAAGUCCAGUAGCAAAGAAGUUGGGCAUGUGACUAUCCUAGUAAGUGAAGAAAACUUCAACAGAAUAGUGGCAAAAGAAUGGGGUGAAAGAAUAAAUUAACAUUUAUCAAUGGGGAGAAAAACUGAAACAUCAUGAUAGUUUGGAUAAAGACAGGUAUAAAAAUAUAUUUUCUAUACUAAAAACAAUGGUGAUAUCACUGAAAGAAGGAAAGUGAAGAUAAGCCAUGAAGAGACAUUGCAGCUCAUUCUUGUAAUACAACAUUUAAACUUAUAUUCAGGCAUUCAAUUUGAAACGCAUUGAUUAAAGGUUACUGGUCAUACAGAACUGGAAUUCUAUGUAAAAGUUUAGCUGAAGAGGUAUACUUGGCAGUUAUUCACAUAAAGCCAAAAACAGUAGACAAACUAA